CUUUUUAGGGUCAUACCCACAACAUAUGGAAGUUCCCAGACUAGUGGUUGAAUUGGAGCCCCAGCCCCAACAACAUGGGGUCUGAGCCUCUUCUGUGACCUACACCACAGCUUGCAGCAACUCCGGACCUGCAAGCCACCGAGGCCAAGGAUCAAACCUAUAUCCUCAUGGAUAUUAUUCUGUUUCUUAGCCUGCUGAGCCACAAUGGGAACUCCUAUUACAGGAGCUGCGGAAAGGUCCUAAGAGAAGCAGCAAGCCAGGAGAAGCCCAGGCAGCCUUGGAAUGCAGAGUCAGCAUCCCGAUGGGGGGGCUGAGGCUCAAGAGAUGCACAGACACAGUGAAGAAGUGGUCCAGGAGGGAGAAAUAGACAACACGAAAGCGAAGGCAGGAAAGUCCAAGCAAGUCCAAGUGUAUAGGGGUGAGGUGGGGGUUUGAUGGGGGAGAGGCUGGAGUGAGGAGGGGUCCUGCAGGGACAGGCUCCACUGAGACGAAGGACUCAGCCUCUGGGGAAAGUGGGUGCUGAGGAGACUCAGCCUCUGGGGAAAGUGGGUGCUGAGGUAUUUAAGCAGAAGAGCACAGUGAGAUUUGCAUUUUAGAAAGAUUGGCCUUGGAGUUCCUAGUGGUUAAGGACUCAGCUUGGUCACUGCUGUGGUCACUCCCUGGCUAGGAAGAUCCACAUGCUGCAGGCAUGGCUAAAUAAAGGAAAGAAAAAUUUAAAAAGAUUAGGCUUUCAAACAUGUUCCAUUUAUUUUUCCUCUUUGAAGGGGAAGACAGGAGAAUGUCAAUGAAAGAAUAAAAUUUAUUUCAUUUCACUAUUCAAAAAUAUUGUCAUUCAUAUAAAACAAAAAAAUAUAUUGUCAUUCAAACUGCAACAAGAUAACUGUUUUCCUAAAAGUUUCAGUAAGUUUGUAAAUGUGUAACAACAUUUGUUCACAAAAAAAACUCACACCAACCACAAGAUUUGUCAUAAAAACCAUGACUUAUAUGGUUAUAGUAAUCAACCGUCCUCCCUCCCCUCAAAAGGAAGGCACAUUUUCAAAAGUUACUGUCAGCAUCCAUCAAUUUAAGUUGUUUUUUUAAUAACAACAAAUUGCUGUUAAAUAACUCUUAAGGUUUCCACACUUGAGGACAGAAGCAGUGGCCCAGAGAGCAACUCAGAGUAAAGCCAAUAUCCACAACGCUUACAUUCCCUGCCUAAUACACACACACACACACACUCUCUCUCUCUCUCUCUCUCACACACACACACACGAUUGCUCUUCUGUUUGUGGUACUACUUAGGCAAAUAUGAAUAAUUCUACCUAUGCUUUAAUCAAAUUGCACACACUGCCUUCAUAAGCAGAGAGGAAAAACCCAAACAGGAGUAGUAAUAGCAGACUACUUGGGAAAGUUCCACAGGCAGCGAAACUGUUUGGGGAGCAAACCAUAUCAGGGAUCCGGAGGCAGUACCUCGGAGUUUCCGCUCAUCAGCCCACUCAGGACCCCGAGAGCCCUGCAAGGGAGCAACCCACUCUAGAGAUGAGGAAGUGAGGCUCCGCUGGGCUGGGCUGCCCAAGGCUAAGUGGUGAAGAACCGUGAUCUCCAAAGCCCAUCCCAAGCUCCCCCCGCCAAGAGGGCUCUCGGGCCAGGGGCCGGGCUGAGAGGUUCCAGCCGCUUCCCACCCUCGCCUGUGACUUGAGGCCCUUCUCCCCUCCAUUGCUCCGCAGUCGGCAGCAUUUCUGCAGCCCGAAGGUGAUCCCCUGCCCUCCCCAGAGAAGCGCCCGUCCAGACUGCCGCCCUGCCCAAACACCCCAGUCCUCCGGGGACCAUCCAACUGCAGGAAGUCCCUGCGUCUUGCCCUGGAAUUCCCGGUCCUCCUCUACUGGAUCCCGCCUUCCAUCACGUGACAGGAAGUCUCCACAGGAUCCAGACCAGCCCUGAUGCCCAAGCACCUUCAUCAUUCCCUUCCUGCACUGCCUUCCCUCCCACUGCUCAGAAUGGGAGCCCACACUCUCCAGACUCAAAUGCCUGGACCCCACUGCAGACCGAGGAGCCAGGACACCACGGUCGACAGGUGCUUUUUGAGGUCGCCCCACUACCCAGGUAGGAAGCGCUGUCCUAAAUCAAGGCCAGUCUUCCCACUUACUAAACCAGACGCAAACCCUAGGGAUUACAGGAGAUUGCCGCCCCCUCCCCCAUGUGCAAAGGACCACUCCCCUCUCGGAAAUCCAGCAGCCACACCUGUGUGUACCAACCCGUUGCAAAUUAACACCACUGCCUACUGUUAUUUAUAGUUGAAUAUAUUCACCCUGCCUCCCAGAUUACUUUCUUCUUGAGGGCAAGAAUUUGGUCUUAAUGUUUUUCUUCACAAACCGUGAACACAGCAGCCCUCCAACAAAUCAACAAUUUUUAAGAAAACAAACAUGGAAAUCUUCUUAUCUUUCUCCUAACCAGAGUCUGGAUGCACAGCAGGAAAAAAUGGGAAAUCUUGGGGCCAGCCCUGAGCCACUCAGAAUCAAGAAGGAGCGGGUAAAGCCCUAAGAAGUCAAGUCGCCAGACGAGAGUCCCGGCAGUUGGCGCUUUUUACCCC
rnacentral:lncRNA from 1 species